rnacentral:rRNA from 1 species
AUCGAACGCUGGCGGCAGGCCUAACACAUGCAAGUCGAACGAAUGGCGGACGGGUGAGUAAUGUCUGGGAACCUGCCUGAUGGAGGGGAUAACUACUGGAACCGGUAGCUAAUACCGCAUACCAUCAGAUGUGCCCAGGUGGGAUUAGCUUGUUGGUGGGGUAACGGCUCACCAAGGCGACGAUCCCUAGCCGGUUUGAGAGGAUGACCGGCCACACUGGAACUGAGACACGGUCCAGACUCCUACGGGAGGCAGCAGUGGGGAAUAUUGCACAAUGGGCGCAAGUCUGAUGCAGCCAUGCCGCGUGUGUGAAGAAGGCCUUCGGGUUGUAAAGUACUUUCGGCGGGGAGGCGUUACCCGCAGAGGAAGCAACGGCUAACUCCGUGCCAGCCGCCGCGGUAAUAC